AGUGGGGAAUAUUGCACAAUGGGCGAAAGCCUGAUGCAGCCAUGCCGCGUGUAUGAAGAAGGCCUUCGGGUUGUAAAGUACUUUCAGCAGUGAGGAAGGGUGUGUAGUUAAUAGCUGCAUAUCUUGACGUUAGCUGCAGAAGAAGCACCGGCUAACUCCGUGCCAGCAGCCGCGGUAAUACGGAGGGUGCGAGCGUUAAUCGGAAUUACUGGGCGUAAAGCGCAUGCAGGUGGUUUGUUAAGUCAGAUGUGAAAGCCCGGGGCUCAACCUCGGAAUUGCAUUUGAAACUGGCAGGCUAGAGUACUGUAGAGGGGGGUAGAAUUUCAGGUGUAGCGGUGAAAUGCGUAGAGAUCUGAAGGAAUACCAGUGGCGAAGGCGGCCCCCUGGACAGAUACUGACACUCAGAUGCGAAAGCGUGGGGAGCAAA
rnacentral:rRNA from 1 species